rnacentral:rRNA from 1 species
GCCUCAGUAACGGCGAGUGAGCGGCAAAAGCUCAAAUUUGAAAUCCCCCGGGAAUUGUAAUUUGAAGAGAUUUGGGUCCGGCCGGCAGGGGUUAAGUCCACUGGAAAGUGGCGCCACAGAGGGUGACAGCCCCGUGAACCCCUUCAACGCCCUCAUCCCAGAUCUCCAAGAGUCGAGUUGUUUGGGAAUGCAGCUCUAAGUGGGUGGUAAAUUCCAUCUAAAGCUAAAUACCGGCGAGAGACCGAUAGCGAACAAGUACAGUGAUGGAAAGAUGAAAAGCACUUUGAAAAGAGAGUGAAAAAGUACGUGAAAUUGUUGAAAGGGAAGGGCUUGCAAGCAGACACUUAACUGGGCCAGCAUCGGGGCGGCGGGAAACAAAACCACCGGGGAAUGUACCUUUCGAGGAUUAUAACCCCGGUCUCUAUUUCCUUGUUGCCCCGAGGCCUGCAAUCUAAGGAUGCUGGCGUAAUGGUUGCAAGUCGCCCGUCUUGAACAAACGGAACCAAA